rnacentral:rRNA from 1 species
AACGAACGCUGGCGGCGGGCUUAACACAUGCAAGUCGAACGGAAAGGCCCUGCUUUUGUGGGGUGCUCGAGUGGCGAACGGGUGAGUAACACGUGAGUAACCUGCCCUUGACUUUGGGAUAACUUCAGGAAACUGGGGCUAAUACCGGAUAGGAGCUCCUGCUGCAUGGUGGGGGUUGGAAAGUUUCGGCGGUUGGGGAUGGAAUCGCGGCUUAUCAGCUUGUUGGUGGGGUAGUGGCUUACCAAGGCUUUGACGGGUAGCCGGCCUGCGAGGGUGACCGGACACAUUGGGACUGAGAUACGGCCCAGACUCGUAUGGGACGGAGCAGUGGGGAAUAUUGCACAAUGGGCGGAAGCCUGAUGUAGCAACGCCGCGUGCGGGAUGACGGCCUUCGGGUUGUAUACCGCUUUCGCCUGUGACGAAGCGUGAGUGACGGUAAUGGGUAUAGAAGCACCGGCUAACUACGUG